rnacentral:rRNA from 1 species
GCAACCCUUAUCCUUUGUUGCCAGCGGUCCGGCCGGGAACUCAAAGGAGACUGCCAGUGAUAAACUGGAGGAAGGUGGGGAUGACGUCAAGUCAUCAUGGCCCUUACGACCAGGGCUACACACGUGCUACAAUGGCAUAUACAAAGAGAAGCGACCUCGCGAGAGCAAGCGGACCUCAUAAAGUAUGUCGUAGUCCGGAUUGGAGUCUGCAACUCGACUCCAUGAAGUCGGAAUCGCUAGUAAUCGUAGAUCAGAAUGCUACGGUGAAUACGUUCCCGGGCCUUGUACACACCGCCCGUCACACCAUGGGAGUGGGUUGCAAAAGAAGUAGGUAGCUUAACCUUCGGGAGGGCGCUUACCACUUUUGUGAUCAUGACUGGGGUGAAGUCGUAACAAGGUAACCGUAGGGGGAACCUGCGUUGGAUCACCUCCUUACCUUAAAGAA